CGGAACCCUCCCAUAGAAUCCGCAAAUAAAUCGGUAGCCACCAUAACGGUCUUUAUAACAUAGAUCUGGGACAUUAUCGGAAUAAAUCAACCCCGACUCAAGACGGCUGGAAAGCAGCUCAGAGCAUGAGACGGUGUUGAUAAAAAGAAUGUAGUAGUUCCCUAAGACGGCCGAAGCACAUCUCAGAGCAUAGGGUCACCGCUACGGAAAGGAACUCAACAGUUGCCCGCGACGGCCAACAAAAAGCUC
rnacentral:lncRNA from 1 species